rnacentral:rRNA from 1 species
UGGGAAUAUUGCACAAUGGGGGAAACCCUGAUGCAGCAACGCCGCGUGAGCGAUGAAGGUCUUCGGAUCGUAAAGCUCUGUCUUUAGGGAUGAUAAUGACAGUACCUAAGGAGGAAGCCACGGCUAACUACGUGCCAGCAGCCGCGGUAAUACGUAGGUGGCAAGCGUUAUCCGGAAUUAUUGGGCGUAAAGGGAGCGUAGGCGGAUAUUUAAGUGGGAUGUGAAAUACAUGAGCUCAACUCAUGUGCUGCAUUCCAAACUGGAUAUCUAGAGUGCAGGAGAGGAGAGUGGAAUUCCUAGUGUAGCGGUGAAAUGCGUAGAGAUUAGGAAGAACACCAGUGGCGAAGGCGACUCUCUGGAC